UGAUCUAUCUGUUCCUUACAGUAAUAUUUUAUUAAAAUUUUCUGUCAGCAGUAAUAACUCGUUAGGUCGUUCAAAAUAUUUAAAUUCAGUUAUUAUUAUUAAGAUGAAGUUCUCUUAUAUACCCAAUAAAAAUCUCAUUUUCAUCUGAUAUAAAAUUAUUGGGGUGUUACAUUUUAAGAAGUUGUCAUGUGUUAUUUUUAUCCCUAUCAAAAUAUUAUAAUCAUUUCUUCUAAAGUUCUCUCAUAACUUACUUAUAUCCGUACCAAACGAAGCCUAAAAGUUCUCUCAUAACUUUAAAGUUAGAAAAUAUCCAACAAAUUAUUAAGUGACGACAAAAACUUAUACAUGAUAGUGAAUUGAUGGCUCCCCAACAUGGUAUGAUUGGGGAGCUUCCCAUUAAAAGCUUUAUUUCUAAAUUAGAGCUUCUGCUUUACAAAUUUUUUUAUUGGUGUUUACUUCGUGGAAGUUUAUCAAUAAUGUUAAAU
rnacentral:lncRNA from 1 species